UACGGGGGGGGCAAGCGUUGUUCGGAAUUACUGGGCGUAAAGGGCUCGUAGGCGGCCAACUAAGUCAGACGUGAAAUCUCCCGGCUUAACUGGGAGGGUGCGGUGGAAACUGGGGUGCUUGAGUGUGGGAGAGGUAAGCGGAAUUCCUGGUGUAGCGGUGAAAUGCGUAGAUAUCAGGAGGAACACCGGUGGUGUAGACGGCUUACUGGACCACGACUGACACUGAGGCACGAAAGCGUGGGUAGCAAACAGG
rnacentral:rRNA from 1 species